rnacentral:tRNA from 4 species
GGCCGAGUAGCUCAGUCGGUAGAGCAGGGGAUUGAAAAUCCCCGUGUCGGCGGUUCGAUUCCGUCCUCGGCCACCA